rnacentral:misc_RNA from 1 species
UUAAGUUCAGCGGGUAUCCCUACCUGAUCCGAGGUCAACCUGUAAAAAUAUGAGGCUUCAGUCGGCAAAGGAACCAUCUCCGUUAAAGGACGUUUAGAAAAUCUACUACGCCCAAAGCCGGUGAGGCUCCGCCGAGGUUUUUGAGGCGCGUCCCCGACUGGCGGGGGCGGUUGCCCAAUACCAAGCUGUGCUUGAGUGGU